rnacentral:rRNA from 1 species
UACGAAGGGGGCUAGCGUUGUUCGGAUUUACUGGGCGUAAAGCGCGUGUAGGCGGAUCGUUAAGUCGGGGGUGAAAGCCCAGAGCUCAACUCCGGAAUUGCCUUCGAUACUGGCGGUCUGGAGCAGAGAAGAGGCGAGUGGAAUUCCGAGUGUAGAGGUGAAAUUCGUAGAUAUUCGGAGGAACACCAGUGGCGAAGGCGGCUCGAUGGUCUCUUGCUGACGCUGAGACGCGAAAGCGUGGGGAGCAACCAGG